AUUUAUUUUCUAAAAUUAGAGAAUCCCUAGAUCUAAGAUCCUAUUAUAUGAUUAUUACAUAGCAUUAAAUCAAAAAUUAAAAUAUAUAAAUAUAACAUGAACUACAUGUUGAUCAUAUCAACAUGUUUCUAUACUACAUCUAAUGUAUGUAUUAAACAAUAGAUCAGAUCUAUUACCUUGCAAGUUAGACGUUCUAACCUCGCUGAUCCAGGC
rnacentral:lncRNA from 1 species